GGGCUAUAGCUCAGUGGUCAAGCAUCUGCCUUCCAUGCAGAAGGUCCCAUGUUCAAUCCCUGGCAUCUCCA